UUAUAUCUGAUGGGGUGAUUUAUGAUCAGUGAUCUUUGAUGUUACUGUUGUCAUUGUUUCGGGGUAUCACAAAGUGCUCCUGUAUAAGAUAGCAAACUUAAUUGAUAAAUGUAUGUAUUCUGACUGCUCUGCCAAUGGGCCGUUCUGCCACCUGUCUCCCAUUCCUUGGAUGUCCCUAUUUCCUGAGACACAACAAUACUGAGAAUAUGCCAAUUAAUAACCCUACAAUGGUCUGGUAGUAUUCAAGUUAAAGGAAGAGCCGCUCAUCUCUCACUUUAAAUCAAAAGCUAGAAGUGAUUCUGCUUAGUGAGGAAGGCAUGUCGAAAGCCUAGAUAGGCCAAAAGCUAAGUCUCUUGCUUCAAAUAGUUGGC